rnacentral:tRNA from 1 species
GGCGGUAUGGCCAAGUGGUAAGGCAGCGGAUUGCAAAUCCGCUAUCCCCAGUUCAAAUCUGGGUGCCGCCU